rnacentral:lncRNA from 1 species
AGAGAGAUGAUGGUUGAAGCGUGCUUACCUACUGCAGAAGGAAGGCAAUGAAUGGUACCACUUCUGAUAAACUGAUGCAGCCAUUCCAGGGAGAAAAAUAUGUUCUUAACACAGCGUGACCAACUGGAUGUCUUCUAUAACCUGGCUACCGAUCUUCUCUGAAAAUCAUGCUGUCGAAUGAAGAUGCUGGACUCUAAAAGCCUCCGGACUUAAAAUGUUCUGAGUUCUUUUAUCAGUCUCCAUCAAAAUGCUGGCAUCCCUCAUUAUUGGAAGAUUAACCUCCAAGAUCAUUAAGCCAGACGAACCCCCAUUUGGGAAGAGGAAAUGUCUUCCUCCCCUACAGCAGCAACCACCUCAU